GAUGAAGAACGCAGUGAAAUGCGAUAAGUAGUGUGAAUUGCAGAAUUCAGUGAAUCAUCGAAUCUUUGAACGCACAUUGCGCCCUUUGGUAUUCCAAAGGGCAUGCCUGUUCGAGCAUCAUUUGUACCCUCAAGCUUUGCUUGGUGUUGGGCGUCUUGUCUCUAGCUUUGCUGGAGACUCGCCUUAAAGUAAUUGGCAGCCGGCCUACUGGUUUCGGAGCGCAGCACAAGUCGCACUCUCUAUCAGCAAAGGUCUAGCAUCCAUUAAGCCUUUUUUUCAACUUUUGACCUCGGAUCAGGUAGGGAUACCCGCUGAACUUAAGCAUAUCAAUAAGCGGAGGA
rnacentral:misc_RNA from 1 species